CACCGUUCGCGCGACUGGCGCUCAUACGAGGUGGAUCACCACCGGGAAACGCGAACCGAAACCGCAUCACCAGCGGCAUUCCGUCAAGCCGCGCGCCUGGGCCUUGCUG
rnacentral:ncRNA from 1 species